GCAGGAGGAAGGAUCCCAUGCUGAGUCCUCUUGACACAACUAGCAGCAUCUUGGAGUCUCCUGCUGUGGACACAGCAAGUAUCUCUGGUCAAGAAAAAUAUAAAAGGAAACAAUUUAACGUCUAGUCAGUCCAAAGUUCCUAGUUCACCUCUGCGAAACUCAGUGGAGGGAAAACUGUUCGACACGUCACCUGAGUCAGGCAAGGCUACCGAGUGUGAUAUGUGCCUCAACUACGAGACACAGCUGGUGAACGAGCAAAAAGCGAGUGGCCGAGCUGACCAAGCAGCUGGGGCUGUUA